rnacentral:rRNA from 1 species
UGAGGAAUCUUGCGCAAUGGGCGAAAGCCUGACGCAGCGACACCGCGUGCGGGAGGAAGGCCUUCGGGUCGUAAACCGCUUUCUGGAGGACGAGGAAGGACGGUACUCCAGGAAGAAGUCCCGGCUAACUACGUGCCAGCAGCCGCGGUAAAACGUAGGGGGCGAGCGUUAUCCGGAAUCACUGGGCGUAAAGGGCGUCUAGGCGGCCCUGCAAGUCCAGCGUGAAAGCUCCCGGCUCAACUGGGAGAGGGCGCUGGAGACUGGAGGGCUGGAGACUCGGAGGGGGGUGUGGAAUUCCCGGUGGAGUGGUGAAAUGCGUUGAGAUCGGGAGGAACCCCCGUGGCGAAGGCGGCACCCUGGCCGAGGUCUGACGCUGAAGCGCGAGAGCGUGGGGAGCGAACGGGAUUAGAUACCCCGGUAGUCCACGCCGUAAACGAUGACAACUAGGUGUUGGGCGUCCAAGGACGCGCAGUGCCGCAGCCAACGCGAUAAGUUGUCCGCCUGGGGG